rnacentral:rRNA from 1 species
UUGUGCUCUUGGAGCGGCCGAUAUCAGAUUAGCUAGUUGGUGGGGUAAAAGCUCACCAAGGCGACGAUCUGUAGCGGGUCUGAGAGGAUGAUCCGCCACACUGGAACUGAGACACGGUCCAGACUCCUACGGGAGGCAGCAGUGGGGAAUUUUGGACAAUGGGGGCAACCCUGAUCCAGCCAUGCCGCGUGAGUGAAGAAGGCCUUCGGGUUGUAAAGCUCUUUCAGCCGGGAAGAAAUCGCAUCCGCUAAUACCGGGUGUGGAUGACGGUACCGGAAUAAGAAGCACCGGCUAACUA